GGGUGAGUAACACGUAUGGAACCUGCCCGUAGCAGGGGGAUAAGCGGAAGAAAUUCCGUCUAAUACCGCGUAAUAACUCCGAGGGGCAUCUCUUGGGGUUUAAAGGGUAACACCGGCUACGGAUGGCCAUGCGGCGCAUUAGCUAGUUGGCGGGGUAACGGCCCACCAAGGCGACGAUGCGUAGGGGUUCUGAGAGGAAGGUCCCCCACACUGGUACUGAGACACGGACCAGACUCCUACGGGAGGCAGCAGUGAGGAAUAUUGGUCAAUGGGCGCGAGCCUGAACCAGCCAAGUCGCGUGAGGGAAGACGGUCCUAUGGAUUGUAAACCUCUUUUGUCGGGGAGCAAAAGACGCCACGCGUGGCGUUCCGAGAGUACCCGAAGAAAAAGCAUCGGCUAACUCCGUGCCAGCAGCCGCGGUAAUACGGAGGAUGCGAGCGUUAUCCGGAUUUAUUGGGUUUAAAGGGUGCGCAGGCGGAAGAUCAAGUCGGCGGUAAAAUUGAGAGGCUCAACCUCUUCGAGCCGUUGAAACUGGUUUUCUUGAGUGAGCGAGAAGUAUGCGGAAUGCGUGGUGUAGCGGUGAAAUGCAUAGAUAUCACGCAGAACUCCGAUUGCGAAGGCAGCAUACCGGCGCUCAACUGACGCUCAUGCACGAAAGUGUGGGUAUCGAACAGGAUUAGAUACCCUGGUAGUCCACACAGUAAACGAUG
rnacentral:rRNA from 1 species